GAAGUGCGAUAAGCAAUGCGAAUUGCAGAAUUCCGCGAAUCAUCAGAUCUUUGAACGCAAAUGGCGCCAGAGGGAUAUCCUUCUGGCAUGUCUGUUUCAGUGUCUGAGAGGUUUCACACUAAUCUUAAUGUGAUUGAAUUCGAGUUAGUUAGUUUAAUUACUAGCUCUCUCUCUUUUCUCUCAUGAAAGAUGCGCGAGGGGAUCUUUCGGUCCAAUGAAGUGGUCACAUCACUCGAAUGUGAUUUCAUUGGAAGCACCGAAUUAUCAUUUAACAACUCGCGGUAUCAUUAAACUAAUAAAAAGUGAUACUUUUUGGUAUCAUUUUUUUCUCUCUACACCCUGCAUCUGAGAUAGGCAAGAUCACCCGCUGAACUUAAGC
rnacentral:misc_RNA from 1 species